rnacentral:rRNA from 1 species
AAAGAAAGCUGGCGGCAUGCCUAACACAUGCAAGUCGAACGAGACCUUCGGGUCUAGUGGCGCACGGGUGCGUAACGCGUGGGAACCUGCCCUUAGGUUCGGAAUAACUCCCCGAAAGGGGUGCUAAUACCGGAUAAUGUCUUCGGACCAAAGAUUUAUCGCCUUUGGAUGGGCCCGCGUUGGAUUAGCUAGUUGGUAGGGUAAAAGCCUACCAAGGCGACGAUCCAUAGCUGGUCUGAGAGGAUGAUCAGCCACACUGGGACUGAGACACGGCCCAGACUCCUACGGGAGGCAGCAGUGGGGAAUAUUGGACAAUGGGCGAAAGCCUGAUCCAGCAAUGCCGCGUGAGUGAUGAAGGCCUUAGGGUUGUAAAGCUCUUUUACCCGGGAUGAUAAUGACAGUACCGGGAGAAUAAGCUCCGGCUAACUACGUG